UUAAGCGACUAAGCGUACACGGUGGAUGCCCUGGCAGUCAGAGGCGAUGAAGGACGUGCUAAUCUGCGAUAAGCGUCGGUAAGGUGAUAUGAACCGUUAUAACCGGCGAUUUCCGAAUGGGGAAACCCAGUGUGAUUCGUCACACUAUCAUUAACUGAAUCCAUAGGUUAAUGAGGCGAACCGGGGAACUGAAACAUCUAAGUACCCCGAGGAAAAGAAAUCAACCGAGAUUCCCCCAGUAGCGGCGAGCGAACGGGGAGCAGCCCAGAGCCUGAAUCAGUGUGUGUGUUAGUGGAAGCGUCUGGAAAGGCGCGCGAUACAGGGUGACAGCCCCGUACACAAAAAUGCACAUGCUGUGAGCUCGAUGAGUAGGGCGGGACACGUGGUAUCCUGUCUGAAUAUGGGGGGACCAUCCUCCAAGGCUAAAUACUCCUGACUGACCGAUAGUGAACCAGUACCGUGAGGAAAGGCGAAAGAACCCCGGCGAGGGGAGUGAAAAAGAACCUGAAACCGUGUACGUACAAGCAGUGGGAGCACAGAGCAAUCUGUGUGACUGCGUACCUUUUGUAUAAUGGGUCAGCGACUUAUAUUCUGUAGCAAGUUAACCGAAUAGGGGAGCCGAAGGGAAACCGAGUCUUAACUGGGCGUUAAGUUGCAGGGUAUAGACCCGAAACCCGGUGAUCUAGCCAUGGGCAGGUUGAAGGUUGGGUAACACUAACUGGAGGACCGAACCGAUAAUGUUGAAAAAUUAGCGGAUGACUUGUGGCUGGGGGUGAAAGGCCAAUCAAACCGGGAGAUAGCUGGUUCUCCCCCGAAAGCUAUUAGGUAGCGCCUCGUGAAUUCAUCUCCGGGGGUAGAGCACUGUUUCGGCAAGGGGGUCAUCCCGACUUACCAACCCGAUGCAAACUGCGAAUACCGGAGAAUGUUAUCACGGGAGACACACGGCGGGUGCUAACGUCCGUCGUGAAGAGGGAAACAACCCAGACCGCCAGCUAAGGUCCCAAAGUCAUGGUUAAGUGGAAACGAUGUGGGAAGGCCCAGACAGCCAGGAUGUUGGCUUAGAAGCAGCCAUCAUUUAAAGAAAGCGUAAUAGCUCACUGGUCGAGUCGGCCUGCGCGGAAGAUGUAACGGGGCUAAACCAUGCACCGAAGCUGCGGCAGCGACGCUGAUGCGUUGUUGGGUAGGGGAGCGUUCUGUAAGCCUGCGAAGGUGUGCUGUGAGGCAUGCUGGAGGUAUCAGAAGUGCGAAUGCUGACAUAAGUAACGAUAAAGCGGGUGAAAAGCCCGCUCGCCGGAAGACCAAGGGUUCCUGUCCAACGUUAAUCGGGGCAGGGUGAGUCGACCCCUAAGGCGAGGCCGAAAGGCGUAGUCGAUGGGAAACAGGUUAAUAUUCCUGUACUUGGUGUUACUGCGAAGGGGGGACGGAGAAGGCUAUGUUGGCCGGGCGACGGUUGUCCCGGUUUAAGCGUGUAGGCUGGUUUUCCAGGCAAAUCCGGAAAAUCAAGGCUGAGGCGUGAUGACGAGGCACUACGGUGCUGAAGCAACAAAUGCCCUGCUUCCAGGAAAAGCCUCUAAGCAUCAGGUAACAUCAAAUCGUACCCCAAACCGACACAGGUGGUCAGGUAGAGAAUACCAAGGCGCUUGAGAGAACUCGGGUGAAGGAACUAGGCAAAAUGGUGCCGUAACUUCGGGAGAAGGCACGCUGAUAUGUAGGUGAAGUCCCUCGCGGAUGGAGCUGAAAUCAGUCGAAGAUACCAGCUGGCUGCAACUGUUUAUUAAAAACACAGCACUGUGCAAACACGAAAGUGGACGUAUACGGUGUGACGCCUGCCCGGUGCCGGAAGGUUAAUUGAUGGGGUCAGCGCAAGCGAAGCUCUUGAUCGAAGCCCCGGUAAACGGCGGCCGUAACUAUAACGGUCCUAAGGUAGCGAAAUUCCUUGUCGGGUAAGUUCCGACCUGCACGAAUGGCGUAAUGAUGGCCAGGCUGUCUCCACCCGAGACUCAGUGAAAUUGAACUCGCUGUGAAGAUGCAGUGUACCCGCGGCAAGACGGAAAGACCCCGUGAACCUUUACUAUAGCUUGACACUGAACAUUGAGCCUUGAUGUGUAGGAUAGGUGGGAGGCUUUGAAGUGUGGACGCCAGUCUGCAUGGAGCCGGCCUUGAAAUACCACCCUUUAAUGUUUGAUGUUCUAACGUUGACCCGUAAUCCGGGUUGCGGACAGUGUCUGGUGGGUAGUUUGACUGGGGCGGUCUCCUCCUAAAGAGUAACGGAGGAGCACGAAGGUUGGCUAAUCCUGGUCGGACAUCAGGAGGUUAGUGCAAUGGCAUAAGCCAGCUUGACUGCGAGCGUGACGGCGCGAGCAGGUGCGAAAGCAGGUCAUAGUGAUCCGGUGGUUCUGAAUGGAAGGGCCAUCGCUCAACGGAUAAAAGGUACUCCGGGGAUAACAGGCUGAUACCGCCCAAGAGUUCAUAUCGACGGCGGUGUUUGGCACCUCGAUGUCGGCUCAUCACAUCCUGGGGCUGAAGUAGGUCCCAAGGGUAUGGCUGUUCGCCAUUUAAAGUGGUACGCGAGCUGGGUUUAGAACGUCGUGAGACAGUUCGGUCCCUAUCUGCCGUGGGCGCUGGAGAACUGAGGGGGGCUGCUCCUAGUACGAGAGGACCGGAGUGGACGCAUCACUGGUGUUCGGGUUGUCAUGCCAAUGGCACUGCCGGUAGCUAAAUGCGGAAGAGAUAAGUGCUGAAAGCAUCUAAGCACGAAACUUGCCCCGAGAUGAGUUCUCCCUGACUCCUUGAGAGUCCUGAAGGAACGUUGAAGACGACGACGUUGAUAGGCCGGGUGUGUAAGCGCAGCGAUGCGUUGAGCUAACCGGUACUAAUGAACCGUGAGGCUUAACCUU
rnacentral:rRNA from 1 species